GGACUACCCGGGUUUCUAAUCCUGUUCGCUCCCCACGCUUUCGCUCCUCAGCGUCAGUAUCGGCCCAGAGACCCGCCUUCGCCACCGGUGUUCCUCCUGAUAUCUGCGCAUUUCACCGCUACACCAGGAAUUCCAGUCUCCCCUACCGAACUCGAGCCUGCCCGUAUCGAAUGCAAGCCUGCAGUUGAGCCGCAGGAUUUCACAUUCGACGCGACAAGCCGCCUACGAGCUCUUUACGCCCAAUAAAUCCGGACAACGCUCGCGCCCUACGUCUUACCGCGGCUGCUGGCAC
rnacentral:rRNA from 1 species